AGACUACAGCUUCAGCUCCUGCCUAAGUUGCAACCUGCCAAACUGCCCUAGAGAUUUCAGACUUGCCAGAUACUACAAUCAGGUAGCUUUGAUUAGAACCACAGAAUCACACAAUAUUUGAACCAGAGGCUUCUGCAAGCCUAUCCCCCUGGGCAGCAAUCUCCUUGAACACCACGUGAGUGAUCAGAGGCAUCAGAGGAUGAACCAGCCCUGGGUUUCCUGAAAGGUGAGACCAAGGGAUCAAGAGAAACUGAGGCGCUCGACUGCCCGAUUGCAACACGGAGAGCCUUCGGAGUUCGAAGCCGGCGGCGGAGCAAAAAACCGGGACCCACUCUAGGAGAGGCCCUUCUUGGCUCCGGUGCAGACGCCUGGGUGCCAGCCCCAACCUGGAAUCGGCUUUUUUUUUUUUUUUUUUUUUUUUUUCCUCAGGCCUCCUGCCGGGGUUGGAUGGAAGCUAUCUUGCGCUGUGAUGGGAGACUCGGUGGAGGCGGAGUUGGUUUCUCCGAGGGCUAAGGCGCGUCCCCGCGCGCGUAGCGGGGUGGAGGCAGCAGCAGAUGCCGGGCGCGCGGCUGAGUCCCUCACCCCCUCGGUAGUCUCACUCGCUCGCCGGCGCGCAAUUCAGAGGCUCGAGUAUCUACCGGAGAGGUGGGAGGUGUCCUGACGUCCUUUAAUUCCUAGUCCUUGCGGGUAGGACCCGGGCAGCUGGGAAUUAGUAAAGAUAAAAUUGGGCAGGCGGAGGGGGCGGCUGUUGAGAACUGACCCGGGCUUUGGCGCCCCUCCCUCUGCCCAUCGCCCCUUGAUAAAAGCUCGAGGCCAGUUUUCUAUCAAAGGUUUCAGAGUUGCAGGGAUCCCCAGCUUCCGGAUUUGCCCGGACCGCUGCUCACAAGUUGUUGCCCUGGGGCAAGUUUAUUUUGCGUCUGUCAGCCUCAGUUUUCUUAUCUGUAAAAUGGGGAUGAUAUUAAGUGCCGACCUCUUGUCAAGUGCUAGUGAGGGUUUACAUGGGAUAUUGUGUGCCAAGGGUUGGCCCAGCACUAGCUUGUAGAGAGCAGUGUACCUCUGCUCCGGUUGUCUCAAGCAAGACGAACCGACUCGAACCCAGGAUUGCAAUUUAGGGUGGUGUUAUGGAGCCCAGCUUCCUCCAAAGAGAUUCAUUCUAAAGGUCUGGCGGCCGCAGGCGGGCACCGAACGCGGUCCACUUGCUUCCUCCAAAACCACCCGGGGUCUCCAUUCUAAGGCCUAGCUCAAGCCUUCCCCCUCAAAGAAGAAGAUCCACACUCCGCCCCAUUCACACGUACUUAACACCUCUACUGGGAGUCCCGCAGCCCAUACCUCCUGGAUUUAAACUCCAGGGCUGCCAUUUUUAUUUAUUUUUAUUUUUGUCUUUUUUCCUUUUCUAGGGCCGCUUCCCACGGCAUAUGGAGGUUCCCAGGCUAGGGGUCGAAUCGGAGCUGUAGACGCCGGCCUAUGCCAGAGCCACAGCAAUGCCAGAUCCGAGCCGCGUCUGCGACCUACACCACAGCUCCUGGGAAUGCCGGAUCCUUGACCCACUGAGCAAGGCCAGGAAUGGAACCCGCAACCUCUCGGUUCCUAGUCGGAUUCUUAAACCUCUGAGCCAUGAGAGGAACCCCAAGGGCUACCAUUUUUAGAUGUGUACCUUGGACAAGGGCCUUCACCUCUCCAAGUACCACUUUACUUCUCUUUAAAAUGGGGGUAAUGAUAACAUUUUAGGUUGCUGAUUUUACAAGUUCGUACAGGAAAAAGCCUAGAGUCAGUGGCUGCUUCUUUCAUUGUUUUCCUCCUUUGGCCGUGAAUUCGAGGAUAAACUCUGUUCUUGAAGAGUUAGCCCCAAAUGGGUGGAGAAAGGAUCCCACAUGCUCUCUGCUCCACUUGAAGACUCCUUUUCUGUGGACCUUCAAAAUCUGUAGGAGGAGGAGGCCCUUACACCGGAUCCCGGACCUGCGGAAUGGUUAAGCCGCCAGGUCGCCCUGGGUUUGGGGACCUCCUCCAGGCUGCCCUAUGUAGUUGCUCUUGCCCAGCCCUUGUCCUCUCAAUUUCUAGCUGCGCCGCAGAAACCGCCGACAGCGGACAAUGGGGGAGCCCUCCUCCCCAGUUCAGGGUGCCCAGCAGGGGGCUUCCGACUAUUAACUUAACUCCUUCCUCGUCGGGCGUUUAACCUAGUAGGUGGAGACAAAACCUGAGCUUAAAUACCCUUAUUUUCUUUCUUUGACUAGUAACCAGCCGGAACGGCAAAAUCCUGGCGGGGGGCGCGGGAGCGGGGGGCCUGGGAAAAACAGAUGCUAAUGGAGACCUGGGGCGGGCGGAAGGCGCUCAGGGGCCGGGCGCCCGCUGCCUCCGUUUGAAGUGCGCCCUCCCUGCCGCGCUCCCCGGCGGCCGCUGGGCUUCCCCGCUUCUGGGGAAACCGAGAGCAGCUGCUGGAACCAAUGGGGCCUCUCUUCUCGAGUUCUGACGAGCUCAUUCCCGCUUCCUGCCUCUGGUUCGCGCUGCCCUUGACCUGUUUGUUCCUGGUCUCCUCCCCCAUCAGACUGGGAAUUUCUGGAGGAGGACGACUAAGGUUCCUGAGCCGUCCUUUAGUCCCAGGAUCAAGUGAGAAGGGCAAAAAGUGAGUUUAGUGUUAAGUGUAAUGGGAGCAAUAGGAAAGAGUCUAGGCUUUCCUAGAUGUUGUUCUGACUGCUCGUUGUUCCAAAUACGAUUCUGACCCCUGGGAAUUGGGGACAGAGCAGUUAAGGAGACCCACAAAGCUAGUAAAAGGUGGAGCCAUGAACACAGAUGAUUCUGCAUAAAAUUGUGCUUUACUCAUAAGGAUCUGAAAAAACAGAUGGGGGGAGGGGCUCAAGCCCAGCUCGUUGACCUGGGAUCUCAGUUUCCAGACCAGGAAUUGAACCCUAGCCCCUGGGGGUAAAAGCCAGGAAUCCUAACCACUAGACCACCAGGCAACUCCCUGAAAAGUCAGAUUUAAGGAAUGAUCUCUUUGGUUCCUCUUUCCUGUUCCUUUCCUUCCCUCCUCCUUCCCUCUCCCUCUCCUUCCUGGACAAGAGAUUCCAGCCGCCAGGUCAGAUUGAAGCCAAUGUGAUUGGAUUCUGCCCACCUGUUGUGUAGAUACCCUACCACACCUCUAUCAUAGAGGUGCCUUCUCUUGAAACAUUAAUUUCCACUGGUUCUGCCAAUGCUGCUAGGGAUGUGCAAGUGAUCUCUGUGUAAGUGAUUUCUGUUCAGGAUAACAUUUCUCAUUGGCUCCGUGGGGGUUGUUCCCAUUAACAGCUGUACUGCAAUUUGGCAUCAAUGUUUCUGUUUUCAUGUGGAAGAAUGUCCACAUUAACACACACACACACACACACAGAAAGCCUUGCAAUAAUGUCAGAACUCUGGGUUAGGAAAGGUCUUUUAAAAGAUGUUAAACAUCUUAAAAAGUCUAAAAAGGAUGUAAAUACCAGAUCCAUUAAUUUAGAAAGAUCUAUGUUUUCUUUUUCUUUUAGGGAAAAAAACCCCCAAAAACUUUCACUUUCAUCUUCAUGGUUAUAAAGCCUGAGAUCUGACACUGUCCUUGGGCUAUUUUGUCUGUUCUAGUUUGCAAAUUUGGUAACCCUUUUCAUUCAAUUAAGAGAUGAGCACUUACUAAGAACCAGGCCUUCAAGGUGCAAAAGUAAGCAAGACAGGGAUCCCUGUAUAACUCAUAUUUUAAUGUAGCAAUGAUGAGCCAAAUAUUCCCAUGCUUUAUUUUUUAAAGUAUUUAAGUACUUCAUUUUAUUUUGCUUCAUGUGGCCUUUCUUGUUAUUUAUGUGAAUCUGAAUCUGUGUACUUCUGAAAAUAUGAUGAUGAUGAAAGGACAGGAGUUAAAUCUAGGAAUUCUUUCACAAUUAAAAAAAAAAACCUUUUAUAACAAAGAUUCUUGAUCCAGUGUUUAAGAAAAAAAUCACUUAUUUUUUGUAAUAAGUAAUCUUAGGUAUGUUAAUUAACUUUCAUUCCCAGAUUUCCCCACCUCCUCAUAUUUUAAGUGAACUACAAAUUACAGUUAGCCAUCACAAUAAAUAGAUUGACAGCUAAAGAUAAUAGUUUAAAUCAGCCGAUUUUAUUCGAAACGUACAGUGGGUUUAAUAUAACCCUUUGCCUCAUACAUUUGUGAAUCUGGUGAUUGCUUUGAAAGCAAGUGAUCAGCCUAUUUCAGGGUCACAGUGAAUUCAAAUUCUUAUAAAAGUGAAACUAUUGUUAAGAGUAUCUUGUGGCUGUCAGCAAAAUCAACACUACUUGUCCUUGCCACCAUGUUUUAUCUUAUGGGACAUUUAAAAAAAAAAGUGAAGCAAACAAUAUUACGGUGAUGGAAACCCCUCCCCCUUCAGAAAGCAGAGUGGAGGUGGAAUCUGGCCAUCAGAGAACAAAGGGCCAAAGAGUGAACCUGAGAUGGUGAAAUAAAAUGUAACAUCAACAAAGAAAAGGCCAUAGAUAAAUAGUAAAAGGACCAGUCACCACAAAAAACCCAUUGACAUUUUCCCAGAGUCCAGGCGAAGCGCUGGCGACCGGUUAAUGUUGGAAUGUUUUCCUAGGGUUAAAAAGAGAACCGGCAGCAAGUCUGCUCAGAAUUUACAAAGUGUUUGAAUAACACGGACAGUGUUUUGAUAACACAUUUUUAGUAGGGGUGAAAAUAAUAGAAUUUAUUGGGACAUUUAUAUGGGCCCCCUUGGUUGUGUUGGGGGGAGAGAAGGGUAAACGGUAUAUCACUGCCCUUCUCUAUAACUCACCCCUGUAAUUUAUUCAUACAUAUAUAACUGAUGUAUAAUCGUCCUGUGACAGCCAGAUGCUUCUCAGUUUUGCCUUUAAAAGAUGAGCACAGUGACAUUGGUUGCCUUCAAGAGGGAGAAAAGGAUGAGGAGGCCACCUGGCCAGGUGGGCAAUAACUUUGCGUUAUCACUUUCAGAUGAUAGCAUGAAACUGGUAUUAUUAUUUAAGACAAUGGAGCAUGAGAGCCUUAAUAGGCUCACACACAGGCUUAACCUUGGCUUCCUUGUAGCCUUCAAAGGGUCCUGCUUGUUCCAUCUCAGGCUGAAAGUUGCAAGAUGUGAGUUAAUCCAGCCGGCACUUCUUGGGUCUGGUCUUCCACCGGGUCUCCACAUUUCCGCCCUAGUGUUGAUGUUUUUGUUCAGUGUAUUCCAAUACACUAUCACUUGAGCCACAUAAAACCAGGCACCUUUCAAUAAAUGUCUCAUUUGGAUUUCAUGAAGCUUGGGGUGUAAUUGAAAUCAAACAGCAAACAGUCUGGAAGGUUCUGUUAUGUGCCCACCCAAUCUAAGGAGGGUACUGCCUGACUUGUUCACUGCUUUAGCUUUUUUUUUUUUUUCUGUUCCUGUUUCUGGAAAAGAGGGCUUACAUUUUAAAGUGCGACUGGGACACGUGAAAAUCAUUUUUAUGUCUCCUUCCCUGGUUAUAAGUAAAAAUGAGUCAGCAAAAGGAAAGCCCAUUUCAAGAAGGAAAUCAAUUGCAGAUUUGCUCAUCUAUAACUCUCCAGCCAUUUAGACUAAUAUAUCCCUUGUGUAAUAACAAUAACGUAAUUAGUUAAUUGAUACAGAAGAACCAUCAAAUGAGAUUUCUUUAUUGCUAUGCAGUCAACAGAAUCAUCUUUAGUUGAAACAGUGCUUUUCAUUAUGUUCAAGAGAAAUUUGUAAUAUAUAUAUUUAAAUGGAAUAUAAAUACUGUGUGUAUUUUCCAUGUUCCCCAAAUCCUGGGCCCCCGGGCAUUGUUGUAGAGCUUGAAUUUUGAUGCUCUUUGAACUUCUUUGUUUCUCUGCCUGUAAAUUGUAUUAAAGUUUGGGCAAAAUAAUGGAUCUAUUGGGGAGGUGGGGAGAUAUAAACUGCAAUUUCCUGCCCCAAGAAUCAACACUAAUCCUGAUUAUGCAUACCGCGUAUAUAUUUAAUCAUUAGGUAGCACUCGAAUGAACCCACGCGCUUUCAAGAGCUUGCUCCGGGGCUGGAAUAAAAUCAGCCCUUUCUGAUGUGGCGCGGGGGACAGCUGGCUCGCGUUAUUUGCGCCAGAGUGGGUCGGAACGAUGCCUGUUGCCUGCAAUGGCGCUCUGCCACGCGCAGAGCUUCCCUGGCCGCCUGGAAAGCAAUUUGAAGGGACACCGAGGCCCGCUUUCCGUUUGAGAUAAAGCCCCCAGCCGCUCUGUCUCAAAAGAAAAAACAAACAAAAAACAACAACAAAAAAAAA
rnacentral:lncRNA from 1 species